CUUAUGUAUAAGUUGCCAUGUAAUAUUCUAUUUUUAGCUUACUCCUGAAAAUAAUGGCUCUUGAUACAAAGAAUUAUCAACAGCUGUAAUUCAUGUGAUUACAGUGUAAGAAGUACUUUGCACCACAAAUAUAGUUAAAAUAGUUUUGAACUAAAGGUAUUUUGCCAAAAUUUAAUUCAUUAUUUUUGUGUUAGAGAUGGUAUAAUAGCUGUGUAAUUUGCUUUUAUUUUACAUGCCUUAGGUAUGAGAAAUAUAUAUUGGCCACUUAUAUAACUGAAUGAUAUGGUUGUGGUCUUUGAUAGAUUGUUACAUUACAACAUGUGUGAAACCAUAGAAGAUAUAUCAUGCCUUGAGAAGUCAUUGAUAGUACUCCUAGGUUUUAUAUAUGUAGUAAUGAAACACUAGUUUGUGAUAUACAUUCAUGUCUCCUACUGCUUCAUAGAAGUAUAACUUACCAUCAGUCAUUUUCUGAGUACUAAAACUUUUACUGAAUUGGUAGCUCAACUUUCAUGAUUGUAUAAAUAACUAAUUUGUUUCACAAGUCUGAAAAAAGUAAAUCUGAUUAAAUAGGGGAGAUAACAACAAAAAUUCUUCUGUUAGGGAAAGCAUCAAAUUAUCUCCCUUAGGUACAAUGAUAAGGAGAGUUCAUUUCUCUUAUAUGUUAUAAUCAUGAUCGAAGUGGCCUACAUAUCCUAAUUUACCAUCAAAAGUCAUAUUUUGACAAUAGACUUAUUGUGCAUUCUAAGUGUAUCUACAGUGUUACUACUACAUUACUACAAUAGUAGUGAAAAUGCUAUUUAUAUUUGCAUAUGUUUGAACAUUUUUUCAUUUAAACUAGUCCAUGCUUAAUGCCAAAUUUGUAUAGUUCUAAGAAUCAUUGUAAAUAUUACCUUUUUGUUUUGUGAUAGGUAACAAGUGAAUAUUACUUUAUUGGCAAGAAUGUUUAAACAUAAGUGAUCGUGUCAAAUUUUGCUUUAAAAGGUUGUGGCUUUCUCCAUCAAUAAGAACUGACUGCCGGGAGAUAGCACAAUAAUAUUAAAAGUUGGGCUAAUUACCAAUUAACUUAUCAAUCAAAUUACUCUUUUCUCAAGUGCAAUAAAAUCUUGGGUCUAUUUUGGCAUUUGGUGUCUUAUAUUUGUAUUAUGGUAUUAAACAGUGUCCUAUGACCUGUACCUGCUUGUGCUAUUCAUACAAUUUAAAUAUUUUUAUUAAGCGUUAUUCCUUGAGAAUAAAUGUGGGAGGUUAGGAAAGGAAGAUUUAUUUUUGGACAAAGGUCAUGUCCAUUUAAUGAAUGCAAAACUUAUUAAGAAAGUAUAUUCUACUGUAUGGGCUACUAUAGUUGUUAAAGGUGUUGCUAAUCUCUAUAUAAUUUUGUCUCUGGUGGUGAAUUGUGUCUCAUUCCACAUCUUCUUAUUUUCAUAUUGUAUCAGUUUUUGAAUUAUGUUGACUUGAAAAUUAUCUCUGGUUGACUGCAUUUCAAAUUUACUAAUAUAGAUAACCCUUCUCAUAUAUGAACUUUAACCUGUGUAUUCAUUAGCUUAUAAUUGUGCAUUUUAUUUUUACUGUGACCAAGCUUUUUAACACAACAUAUGUUUUGUUAUUUUUUAUUGAAUCUGAAUAUAAGGUAAAAGAUUUAAAACUAUUUUUACAAAAAAUCUAAUGAAAAAAAUGGUAUAGUAUUAAGGUUUUUUUUUAUGAAAAGAGCCCCUGUAUUUUUGUGUCAGUUUAGAGAUUAGAGUUCGAACAAAUAUUGACAUCAUUGAUAACAUUCUCACAUCACAAAAUUUUCAUUUUAAAAUAAAUUCAGUCAUCACAGAGUUAAAAAUUUACUAAGAAUUAACUUACAUUGUUUGAAUACCACAUAUUCUGUUAUGCAGGAAGCCAGUUUGUACAUUUAUAUGUGUGAUGUACAAAGUUAAAAUUAGACAUGAUGAAGUAUAGGGGUUCACUGAAGGGAUUAUUAGUGAUGUGCCUUUUUCUUAACAAUAAUUUGAUUGUUGUCAUUCCCUAGAUCUCUGUAUAACAUUUCAAUCAUUACAUACAAAUACAUAUAUGAUAAGUG
rnacentral:lncRNA from 1 species